rnacentral:rRNA from 1 species
GACGAACGCUGGCGGCGUGCUUAACACAUGCAAGUCGAACGGAAAGGCCCUGCUUUUGUGGGGUGCUCGAGUGGCGAACGGGUGAGUAACACGUGAGUAACCUGCCCUUGACUUUGGGAUAACUUCAGGAAACUGGGGCUAAUACCGGAUAGGAGCUCCUGCUGCAUGGUGGGGGUUGGAAAGUUUCGGCGGUUGGGGAUGGACUCGCGGCUUAUCAGCUUGUUGGUGGGGUAGUGGCUUACCAAGGCUUUGACGGGUAGCCGGCCUGGGAGGGUGACCGGCCACAUGGGGACUGGGAUACGGCCCAGACGCCUACGGGAGGCAGCAGUGGGGAAUAUUGCAAAAUGGGCGGAAGCCUGAUGCAGGAACGCCGCGUGCGGGAUGACGGCCUUCGGGUUGUAAACCGCUUUCGCCUGUGACGAAGCGUGAGUGACGGUAAUGGGGAAAGAAGCACCGGCUAACUACGU